AAGUAAUAACUAAGGCAUCAUAAUGAGGAAAACACAAACCGUCGGCAUCAGACUUAUCGAAAAUGGUACUAUCUUCGAAGUCGUCAUACCGUUCGCGAGCGAUGGUUCGCUUUAGCUUGUGGGUGGUUGUGAAUUUGACGUGAUUGAUUGCCGAAUCGUUGCCAUCUCCAAUGAUCAUGUUGAUCGUGUGUGUUGGUGAGGGCGGCCUUGGUGGGCCAUGGGGUUGUUCCCGCCCGCGUGCGUAGUUGAGCUUUCCUUUGUCGCUGAGCAGUUCUUUCAAGAACCCUUGGUUCAGCAUUCGGACCA
rnacentral:lncRNA from 1 species